GGUUUCGGGUUCCAUCCCUGGCCUUGUUCAGUGGGUUAAGGAUCCAGCGUUGCUGUGAGCUGUGGUGUAGGUUGCAGACGCAGCUCGGAUCCUGAGUUGCUGUGGCUCUGGCGUAGGCCAGUGACUACAGCUCCGAUUCAACCCCUAGCCUGGGAACCUCCAUAGGCCGUGGGAGCAGCCCAAGAAAUGGCAAAAAGACAAAAAAAAAAAAAAAAGCCUAUUGCUUUGUUUUGUUUUUUGCUUUUUAGGGCCACACCCAUGGGAUAUGGAGGCUCCCAGGCUAUGGGUCAAAUUGGAACUACAGCUGCCGGCCUAUGCCAGGGCCAAAAGCAACUCGGGACCCGAGCCAGGUCUGAGACCUACACCACAGCUCACGGCAAUGUCAGAUCUUUAACCCACUGGGGAGGCCAGGGAUCGAACCCACAACCUCAUGGUUCCUAGUUGGAUUUUUUUUUUUUUUUUUGGUCUUUUUGCCUUUUCCAGGGCAGCUCCCGCGGCACAUGGAGGUUCCCAGGCUAGGGGUUGAAUCGGAGCUGUAGUCACUGGCCUAUGCCAGAGCCACAGCAACACGGGAUCAGAGCCGCAUCUGCAACCUGCACCACAGCUCACGGCAACGCUGGAUCCUUAACCCACUGAGCAAGGCUAGGGAUGGAACCCGAAACCUCGUGGUUCCUAGUCGGAUUCGUUAACCACUGCACCACGACAGGAAUUCUGGCCACGACUUCUAAACCUGGGCUUCCGUCCUUGUCCCAGCCCUACUGCCAUUCCUGGGAAGCCCAUCCUGAAGCAGGUGGUGUGGUGACUGCCACUCGUAAGGAGGCACGAGGACCGUCACUACCGUCCAGGGACCAGCCCCGGCCCCCUGGAGAAAUGGUUCUGGAGGCUGCUGUGAGAGCACCUGUGAUGUGUCACCAGGCUCUCUUGUCCGGCCAUAGCCUGAAAGGAAGAGAGGCAGUGACCAGGGACUUCAGGAACAGUUGCUGUGAGCACUCAGAGCAAGACAGAGUGGCG
rnacentral:lncRNA from 9 species